rnacentral:rRNA from 1 species
CACGGGCACUACUAAAGACGUGACACACCCGAUCCCAUUCCGACCUCGAUCUGUGAAACCGUCUUUUCAGCGCCAUAUGUACUGAUUCUUCGGGAGACAUGGUCAAAGCCCUAC